GGUAUUUUCAACCCAUAGGGGGCUCACAGCUGCAACCAGUGACAUGACUGUAACUUAUCUUGAAAGUUUUGCUGGAAGAAACUCUCCCGUAUAGUAUAAAAAAAAUAACAUUUUAACCUGUGUUGAGCACGUCUGACAUACAUCUUGUAAAACAUCUGACAUACAUCUUGUAAACGCUCUCUGACAGCUGAGAUUAGCUACUGCAUACAUUCUCUUAACUUCAGAACAUCGUCUAAUUGAAUUCAUAUCGCCAAAUGAAGAAAGUUCUGGUACAAUUCAUUCACACAUCUCUUUCUCACUUCUUUUCUGUCAUCUCUCCACUAUUGGGAUUAAAUAUAUGAGCAUGGCUUACUCUGUUGAGUGAGGUUGUUCAUAUUUAGCUGCCUUCACUUUCAAACCCUCGUUUUCUCAGUCCAACACAUGUGCACAUUUUACAUUGCUGGUCAUUGCUGUUUUUUUGGACAUUGAUUCUCUUGUCCUUACCCUUGAAAGCAGAUGUGUGGGUGUUGCACUUUUUUGUGUUGUAACCCACCAUCGUUGUUUGAGGAUGACCACAGAGUCCACACAGGUUUGCUUACUGGAAGAUGGCCUAAUCAGGAUAAUCACUGUUUAUAUGGCAAAAUCAAAUAUCGCAGUGUUUACAGGGCACUGCUGCGGUUACUUCAUACAUCAACUAGAUUUGCUGCUGGCCUCCAGAGGGGUUACGCCUUUGUUGCCUCACAAAAACUGUAUGAGCUCAUCAGCAGUCACGUGGCCACGCAUUACUAUCUCAUGGCCACGCGUUAUUAUCUCGUGGCCACGAGAUAGUAAUUCUUUGCAAGACACAACACAACACAACACACAAAUGAGACUGAUUUGCGGACUUCAUCGUGUCUUCUUAGCGGCGUUUGCAGCUUUCCGAUGACGUCACUUCAUAACGUUCCCAUGGCAACAGGAGGAAAAUGGCUGCUCUUGUUACAAUAACAUCGAAAUUAAGGAUGCUAACAGCAACAGGAUUGGACAGUGGCUGAACCAAACAUCCAAUGGUAAAAUACUGCAGCUUUCUUACUCGUUGAACUCUGAGGCCCGUGAAGGAAG